GCGGCGAUGAGGAUAAUGAGUCUGCGCAACUCUCUUGUAAUUGUCUUACCAAACACGUGUGUUCAAUUAACACAAAUCCGAUAAUAAUUAAUUAACACCAAUUAACAUCAGUUUACAUCAUUUAACAUCAAUUAACAUCCGGAACUCCUCCUUCUUUAGCUGCCAAUUUAAAUCAAAAUUCCCAUAUUGCAAAGCGGUGUGAAAAUUCCGGUUGACG
rnacentral:lncRNA from 1 species